rnacentral:rRNA from 1 species
GGUACAGGACGGACCCGCGUCCCAUUAGCUGGUUGGUGAGGUAACGGCUCACCAAGGCGACGAUGGGUAGCCGACCUGAGAGGGUGAUCGGCCACACUGGGACUGAGACACGGCCCAGACUCCUACGGGAGGCAGCAGUGGGGAAUAUUGCGCAAUGGGGGAAACCCUGACGCAGCGACGCCGCGUGAGCGAAGAAGGCCUUCGGGUCGUAAAGCUCUGUUCUUGGGGACGAAUAAAAUGACGGUACCCAAGGAGAAAGCCCCGGCUAACUACGUGCCAGCAGCCGCGGUAAUACGUAGGGGGCAAGCGUUGUCCGGAAUUACUGGGCGUAAAGGGCGUGUAGGCGGCCAUGUAUGUCAGAUGUGAAAUGCCACGGCUCAACCGAGGCACUGCAUUUGAAACUGGAUGGCUUGAGUGCAGGAGAGGGAAGUGGAAUUCCUAGUGUAGCGGUGAAAUGCGUAGAUAUUAGGAGGAACACCAGUGGCGAAGGCGACUUCCUGGACUGUAACUGACGCUGAGGCGCGAAAGCGUGGGUAGCAAACAGGAUUAGAUACCCUGGUAGUCCACGCUGUAAACGAUGGGUACUAGGUGUGGGUAGUUCACUCUAUCCGUGCCGCAGCAAACGCAAUAAGUACCCCG